rnacentral:lncRNA from 1 species
GCGGAGACCACCCGGAGGGCGAACGGUGGCGGAGGCGGGGACUGGGCGGACUGCAGACGCCCAGCCCCGAGAUUCAAGGGUCACAUAGCAGGCUGAGCAUCUAGCAAUGUAUUUACUGCUUUGGGAGUAAACAGAAGUAAAAGAAACCUUGAAUAACAAAAACAAAGAAAACUUGAACGGAAGCCAAGCUGUCCUUUUACCUAUUCUCAAAGUUAGACCUGACAAACCGCCCUGUAUGAUUGCUACUGCUAAUACCGUUACUAAAAGACACUGUUAGAAAGUUUCUCAACAUCCUGCCACCAAUAUCUGCAAACUUA